CGUUUUGAUUGGGUUUCUCGUUUGCUGGGAAGAUUGAGACGGCGAAGGACGUUCUUCGGAAGCGGGGCUGAAAGUCGGGAGAGACGGAGAUUUUUUUGGAAGAAUUUGGCAGCAUUUUACCUCCGCAACCUGCAAGGCUGUAAGACUUCAAGUAUUAGGAUUGGCUGUCUUUUGAACGAAACAUCACUUUCAGAGGAAUUCAUUCUUCCAGAAAUUUUCACCAGACAAGCCUCGAGUGCCAUGGUCAUUGGCUCCAAUGCCAAUCAAAUUUGAAGGUUUUUGAGUCAUUCACUAGGAUGACUUCAGAGGAGGAAGAACCAUAUGGUGCACCACGCCCUCUUCUAUCAACUACAUAACAUUCAUUAUUUUUCCUUCCACCGGCUACAAGGCCCCCCUCACUAUCUCCCCUUCCAUCAACAAAAUACUAUCGAGCAUAUUCUCUUCAAUUGAUUAAGGACACCACAUUGUUUCCUUAGAACUCCCCAUGAUAGUCCUCUCAAUCUAGUCCACUAACAACAAGUGAAUCACACCAGAAUCUUAUAUGUAUCUAUUGAGAGCAGGGUUAAUGAAAUUGAAAUAUGCUUGUCGGCAAGAUAACUAACAAGAUAACUGACUUUGACUUGAGAUUGAAUAAGAUGGAGUUGAGGUUUAGUAGCUUUGGAAUUUCAGCACAAGCUGAAGGUCUUAAUAAGAGGAAUAUUUCCCUAACCUUUAAAGAAAAAGAAAAAGACGGAGCAUCCAAGAAUACUCAAGUUGCAGAAGGUGAUGAAGUUGGUUUUGAAUUCGCUCAAGCAGAGGAGGAUGAACCAAUCAAUCAAACUUUGUUGACUAUUGUUGUUCUUGAUAUUAACUUGAGAGAUGAUAAAAAAGUUAAGGCAUAUACACCUGGCUCCGGGAGAUAUAUAAAGAGGAGAAAGAAAAAUACAGAUAUAAGUUCCGUUGCUGCUGUAAAUGAAGCUGGGUUUGAGCAUGAUGUUAAUCAUUCUAAAUUUCAGGGAGAUCGAGACAGAGUAAAAUGUAUGCUCUCAAUUUUCUCCUAUACCUUUAAUGAGAAUAUGAAUCUCUUUAGUCUAAUUUGCUAAAUAUAUUAUGUGUUCAGCCUA